UACGAAGGGGGCUAGCGUUGCUCGGAAUCACUGGGCGUAAAGGGUGCGUAGGCGGGUCUUUAAGUCAGGGGUGAAAUCCUGGAGCUCAACUCCAGAACUGCCUUUGAUACUGAGGAUCUUGAGUUCGGGAGAGGUGAGUGGAACUGCGAGUGUAGAGGUGAAAUUCGUAGAUAUUCGCAAGAACACCAGUGGCGAAGGCAGCCCCCUGGGCCAAUACUGACGCUCAUGCACGAAAGCGUGGGGAGCAAACAGG
rnacentral:rRNA from 1 species